rnacentral:rRNA from 1 species
AACGAACGCUGGCGGCAGGCUUAACACAUGCAAGUCGAACGCCCCGCAAGGGGGAGUGGCAGACGGGUGAGUAACGCGUGGGAACAUACCCUUUUCUACGGAUGAGCUCUGGGAAACUGGAAUUACUACCGUAUACGCCCUACGGGGGAAAGAUUGAUCGGGGACGGAUUGGCCCGCGUUGGAUUGGCUCGGUGGUGGGGUAAAGGCCUGCCAAGGCGACGAUCCAUAGCUGGUCGGGGUGGAGGAUCAGCCACAUUGGGACUGAGACACGGCCCAAACUCCGACGGGAGGGAGCAGAGGGGAGUAUUGGACAAUGGGCGCAAGCCUGAUCCAGCCAUGCCGGGUGAGUGAUGAAGGCCUUAGGGUUGUAAAGCUCUUUCACCGAUGAAGAUAAUGACGGUAGUCGGAGAAGAAGCCCCGGCUAACUUCGUG